UUAAUUGAAGCCAAAAUAGAGGCCCUUCAUUGUUAAUGAAGCAAAUGGUAAAUAUACCCAAUUAAA
rnacentral:tRNA from 1 species